rnacentral:rRNA from 1 species
AACGUAGGUGGCAAGCGUUAUCCGGAAUUACUGGGCGUAAAGGGUGUGCAGGCGGGGGAGCAAGUGGGGGAUGAAAUCUCCCAGCUUAACUGGGAUAGGUUAUGCCAUACUGCUUUUCUAGAGGACGAGAGAGGGGGGUGGAAUUCCGGGUGUAGUGGUGAAAUGCGUAGAGAUCCGGAGGAACCCCAGAGGCGAAGGCGGCCCCCUGGCUCGUACCUGACGCUCAGCCACGAAAGCAUGGGGAGCGAACGGG